rnacentral:rRNA from 1 species
UACGUAGGCAGCGAGCGUUGUUCGGAGUUACUGGGCGUAAAGGGUGUGUAGGCGGUCCUCCAAGUUUGGUGUGAAAUCUCCCGGCUCAACCGGGAGGGUGCGCCGAAAACUGGGGGGCUAGAGUGCGGGAGGGGAGAGUGGAAUUCCUGGUGUAGCGGUGAAAUGCGUAGAUAUCAGGAGGAACACCGGUGGUGUAGACGGCUCUCUGGACCGUAACUGACGCUGAGACACGAAAGCGUGGGUAGCAAACAGG